GUUUAUCAUAACUGACAUGGUGUUAUUAUUCUUGGUCGAGAUGUUUUCUUGGUGUUUCAUUCAUUGUUCGUUUCAGCUACAAGCUCUGCUCUCUCCCUCUCUUAGGUCAUGAUUACCAGUUGUCUGCCGAUUCUCCUCUGUUUUAACCUGACCUUUCUGCUAUCCUGGCCGAGGUGCUCGUCUUUUAAUGUUAGCCACUCAUGCUUUGUCUAAAGCUGUCUCUCUCACCACUCUGGGCAGACGCCCGCAUAGUGCAGGCUUUCAGCCGCUGGUCUGACGCAGUGCAUCUUGCAUUCGGCUCAUUCCUCGCUUUGUCAUCUGGCUCAGUGUACUGUUUCUGUUCUGUUAACUCUGUUUCGUUCUUCUCGUUCCUCGCCCAAGAGGUAUACAGCACGCUCGUUCAGAAUUGGCGUGGCCACCACGGCCGCUAAGCGGGGUCUGUCCCCUACUGCGAUCAAGGCGCUGGGCCGUUGGUCGUCUGGCGCAUACGCUUCCUGCAUUUGCCUCACUCCUCAUCACCUCGUUGAAGCAUGCUAUAUCUGGUCUGUAACUUUAUGUUUUCUAUUCUCAUUUCUGGUGACGGUGGUAUUUUGCUGCACCGGCGGCAUUCACUCCAUCUCUUGGGGGGCUAUCGCUCCGGUCACCCGGUCAUGUCUGUAUUCUAUCCUUCUCUCAUCUAUCAGAUCGAUUUUAUAGUGGUCCGUAAGCCUGUUAUCUCUAUAUUUUGUAACAUUGAACCAGCCUAGUUGCCAUGGUUGUUUAUCUAUGAUGUCAACUAUCAUACCACAUAUUAUAGCCUACAUUCAUUCAUCCAUCCAUUCAUUUACUCAUUCAUCACCAUGUUCUACUCUCUCUCCUAGGUCACGAUUCCGGCUCUCUACCUACUGUCAUAAUCUAAGUUUUCAGCGCUCUCCUGACCAAGGUGCAUCUAUCAAUCAAAUCAUAACGCUCUGCUGUGUCUCUGCUCUCAGCGCAUCCGCGCCAUGUCUUCUCGCAUAGCCUAAGAUGGUGUCUCCUUGUAAGCGGUAGUUAAGCCGAUUUUGAAGCCACCACCACCCCUCCGUCCACCGUCACCAGAGGUUCCCGUCUGUUAGGGGGCAGGCUACGCCCGCCUCCAUCUCCGCUGGAGGAUAUGCUGUCCUAUCCCGGAGUUCAACGCGAAGACGGGAACCUUCGCCAAACUGAUUCAUGCAUUUUAUCAAGUGUUAUUGUUCGCCAAACUUUUAUGCAUUCCUGUAUCAUGUCUAAUGUUCAAUAAAUGUUAAUAACGUU